UACAGAGGUGGCAAGCGUUGUUCGGAAUUACUGGGCGUAAAGGGCGCGUAGGCGGUUCUCUAAGUCCUGUGUGAAAUCCCCCGGCUCAACUGGGGAACUGCACAGGAAACUAGCGGGCUUGAGUUCGGGAGAGGGAAGCGGAAUUCCGGGUGUAGCGGUGAAAUGCGCAGAUAUCAGGAAGAACACCCGUGGCGAAGGCGGUUCUCUGGGACGGUACUGACGCUGAGACGCGAAAGCGUGGGGAGCGAACAGG
rnacentral:rRNA from 1 species